rnacentral:rRNA from 1 species
UAAUACGUAGGUGGCAAGCGUUAUCCGGAAUUAUUGGGCGUAAAGCGCGCGCAGGCGGUUUCUUAAGUCUGAUGUGAAAGCCCACGGCUCAACCGUGGAGGGUCAUUGGAAACUGGGGAACUUGAGUGCAGAAGAGAAAAGCGGAAUUCCACGUGUAGCGGUGAAAUGCGUAGAGAUGUGGAGGAACACCAGUGGCGAAGGCGGCUUUUUGGUCUGUAACUGACGCUGAGGCGCGAAAGCGUGGGGAGCAAACAGGAUUAGAUACCCUGGUAGUCCACGCCGUAAACGAUGAGUGCUAAGUGUUAGAGGGUUUCCGCCCUUUAGUGCUGCAGCUAACGCAUUAAGCACUCCGCCUGGGGAGUACGGUCGCAAGACUGAAACUCAAAGGAAUUGACGG